CUUUUCUUUUUUUUUUUUUACUUUUCUGGCUAGCGAGUCGUGCUCCUACGCACGGCAUGAAGCAUCCAUUGAUGUAGUAGCGAUGGCGAUUGGUGAGGCUUCAUGGAUGUAUAUGUUUAAUCUAUGAUUGUGAAAUCAUCCACACAUGUUCAGGUUUUGUAUACAAAUUGUAAAUUGAAAAAUCCCAUCUUUUGUAAGGAUUUGUAUUCCUCUGCUUUUAUCAAACAAGAAAGAUCCACGCAUCUUUCAUCUUUCUCACAAUGCAAUUUUAAAAAGGAUUUCCCCUCUUG
rnacentral:misc_RNA from 1 species